UAUGGGUCUAAGGUUUUGCGU
rnacentral:siRNA from 1 species